rnacentral:lncRNA from 1 species
UCUUCUCUCUCAGCUCUCUGCCGCCCGUCGCCGCCCCCUGAUUCUCGGCGAGCAGCGGUUACAAGGCUGCCACCACCGCGAUUCUCGGCCGCCUAAGGUCGAGCAGUCCAUCGCCGGAAAAAAUGGCCUCUCUUACCAAACUCUCUCUUUCUCAUGCUCGAUCUCCAAUUCAGAUCUAAGCUCCGCUAGCCCCUCCACGCAGCGACAGAGCUGGUCCGCCACCGGGUCACGCCGCCUUCCACCACCUUCGCCCGGUUCCGUCCCCACGAGCAGAGCUCUGAUACAAGCUUCAACGCCGACUUCUUCGCC